rnacentral:rRNA from 1 species
GACAGAGGUCCCGAGCGUUAGGCGGAAUCACUGGGCUUAAAGCGUGUGUAGGCGGAUCGUUAAGUGCCUUGUGAAAUCCCACGGCUUAACCGUGGAACUGCUUGGCAUACUGGCGGUCUUGAGCCACUUAGGGGCUACCCGAACAAAUGGUGGAGCGGUGAAAUGCGUAGAUAUCAUUUGGAACGCCAAUGGUGAAAACAGGUAGCUGGGAGUGUGCUGACGCUGAGACACGAAAGCCAGGGGAGCGAACGGG